rnacentral:rRNA from 1 species
GACGAACGCUGGCGGCGUGCUUAACACAUGCCAGUCGAACGGAAAGGCCCUGCUUUUGUGGGGUGCUCGAGUGGCGAACGGGUGAGUAACACGUGAGUAACCUGCCCUUGACUUUGGGAUAACUUCAGGAAACUGGGGCUAAUACCGGAUCGGAGCUCCUGCUGCAUGGUGGGGGUUGGAAAGUUUCGGCGGUUGGGGAUGGACUCGCGGCUUAUCAGCUUGUUGGUGGGGUAGUGGCUUACCAAGGCUUUGACGGGUAGCCGGCCUGGGAGGGUGACCGGCCACAUUGGGACUGAGAGACGGCCCAGACUCCAACGGGAGGCAGCAGUGGGGAAUAUUGCACAAUGGGCGGAAGCCUGAUGCAGCAACGCCGCGUGCGGGAUGACGGCCUGCGGGUUGUAAACCGCUUUCGCCUGUGACGAAGCGUGAGUGACGGUAAUGGGUAAAGAAGCACCGGCUAACUACGUG